CACGUAGGGCGCGAGCGUUGUCCGGAAUUAUUGGGCGUAAAGAGCUCGUAGGCGGCUUGUCACGUCGGGUGUGAAAGCCCGGGGCUUAACCCCGGGUCUGCAUUCGAUACGGGCAGGCUAGAGUGUGGUAGGGGAGAUCGGAAUUCCUGGUGUAGCGGUGAAAUGCGUAGAUAUCGGAAGGAACACCAGUGGCGAAAGCGGCUUCCUGGUCCAGCACCGACGUUCAGGCACGAAAGCGUGGGGAGCAAACAGG
rnacentral:rRNA from 1 species